rnacentral:tRNA from 1 species
GGGGAGAUUGCCGAGUGGUUAAAGGCAACAGACUGUAAAUCUGUCCUCUUUUGAGUUCGGGGGUUCGAAUCCCUCUCUCCCCA